rnacentral:pre_miRNA from 1 species
CAACUACUCCCUUUGUCCCAAAUUUCUUAUCUUAGAUUUGUCUAGAUACGGAUGUAUCUAAUACUAAAAUGUGACUUGAUACAUCCGUAUCUAGACAAAUCUAAGACAAGCAUUUUGGGACGGAGGGACUACUUU